CCCUUAGAUGUUCUGGGCUGCACGCGCGCUACACUGAUGCGUUCAACGAGUUUAUGACCUUGCCCGAUAGGGUUGGGUAAUCUUUUUAAAUCGCAUCGUGAUGGGGAUAGAUUAUUGCAAUUAUUAAUCUUCAACGAGGAAUUCCUAGUAAGCGCGAGUCAUCAGCUCGUGCUGAUUACGUCCCUGCCCUUUGUACACACCGCCCGUCGCUCCUACCGAUUGAGUGUUCCGGUGAAUAAUUCGGACUGCAGCAGUGUUCAGUUCCUGAACGUUGCAGCGGAAAGUUUAGUGAACCUUAUCACUUAGAGGAAGGAGAAGUCGUAACA
rnacentral:rRNA from 1 species